UACAGAGGUGGCAAGCGUUGUUCGGAAUUACUGGGCGUAAAGGGCGCGUAGGCGGCCAUCUAAGUCAGACGUGAAAUCCCCCGGCUCAACCUGGGAACUGCGUCUGAUACUGGAAGGCUCGAGUUUGGGAGAGGGAUGUAGAAUUCCAGGUGUAGCGGUGAAAUGCGUAGAUAUCUGGAGGAAUACCGGUGGCGAAGGCGGCAUCCUGGACCAAUACUGACGCUGAGGCGCGAAAGCUAGGGGAGCAAACGGG
rnacentral:rRNA from 2 species